rnacentral:rRNA from 1 species
UACGUAGGGUGCGAGCGUUACUCGGAAUUACUGGGCGUAAAGCGUGCGCAGGCGGUUGUGCAAGACAGAUGUGAAAUCCCCGGGCUUAACCUGGGAACUGCAUUUGUGACUGCACGGCUAGAGUGUGUCAGAGGGGGGUAGAAUUCCACGUGUAGCAGUGAAAUGCGUAGAUAUGUGGAGGAAUACCGAUGGCGAAGGCAGCCCCCUGGGAUAACACUGACGCUCAUGCACGAAAGCGUGGGGAGCAAACAGG